rnacentral:rRNA from 1 species
AUUCACCUACGGGGGGCAGCAGUGGGGAAUAUUGGACAAUGGGGGAAACCCUGAUCCAGCGACGCCGCGUGAGUGAAGAAGUAUUUCGGUACGUAAAGCUCUAUCAGCAGGAAAGAAAAUGACGGUACCUGACUAAGAAGCCCCGGCUAACUACGUGCCAGCAGCCGCGGUAAUACGUAGGGGGCAAGCGUUAUCCGGAUUUACUGGGUGUAAAGGGCGCGUAGGCGGGAUAGCAAGUCAGUCGUGAAAUGCCGAGGCUUAACCUCGGAGCUGCGAUUGAAACUGUUAUUCUUGAGUAUCGGAGG